UCACAAGGUACUGAUUAGCCUGAGGAC
rnacentral:piRNA from 1 species